rnacentral:rRNA from 1 species
CCAAUAGCGUAUAUUAAAGUUGUUGCAGUUAAAAAGCUCGUAGUUGAAUUUCGGGGUUCUACCGUUGGUCAGGCUAACAAGUCUGUACUGGUGUGUAGAAUUUCUACCCUCUGGGGAACCAUCAUGUUAUUAAUUUAGCGUGGUGGGAAACCAGGACCUUUACCUUGAAAAAAUUAGAGUGUUCAAAGCAGGCUUACGUCUGAAUACAUUAGCAUGGAAUAAUAAAAUAGGACGGUGGUCCUGUUUUGUUGGUUUCUGAAUCACCGUAAUGAUUAAUAGGGAUAGUUGGGGGCAUUAGUAUUCAAUUGUCAGAGGUGAAAUUCUUGGAUUUAUUGAAGACUAACUUCUGCGAAAGCAUUUGCCAAGGAUGUUUUCAUUAAUCAAGAACGAAAGUUAGGGGAUCGAAGACGAUCAGAUACCGUCGUAGUCUUAACCAUAAACUAUGCCGACUAGGGAUCGGACGAUGUUAACUUUUAUUGACUCGUUCGGCGCCUUACG